GACGAACGCUGGCGGCGUGCCUAAUACAUGCAAGUCGAACGCAGUGGGGACGGGUGAGUAACACGUGGGUAACCUCCCAUCAGAGGGGAUAACACUUGGAAACAGGUGCUAAACCGAUACUGAUGGAUGGACCCGCGGUGCAUUAGCUAGUUGGUGGGGUAACGGCUCACCAAGGCCACGAUGCAUCGCUGGGCUGAGAGGAUGACCGGCCACACUGGGACUGAGACACGGUACAGACUCCUACGGGAGGCAGCAGUGGGGAAGAUUAGACAAUGGGCGCAAGUCUGACGGAGCAAAGCCGCGUGAGUGAAGAAGGCUUUCGGAUCGUAAAGCACUGUUAUCGGGGAGGCGGUAUCUGAAGAGGAAGCAACGGCUAACUACGUGCCAGCAGCCGCGGUAAUAC
rnacentral:rRNA from 1 species